UACGUAGGGUGCGAGCGUUAAUCGGAAUUACUGGGCGUAAAGCGUGCGUAGGCGGUUUUGUAAGCCAGAUGUGAAAGCCCCGGGCUUAACCUGGGAAUGGCAUUUGGGACUGCAAGGCUUGAGUGCGGCAGAGGAGACUGGAAUUCCUGGUGUAGCAGUGAAAUGCGUAGAUAUCAGGAGGAAUACCGAUGGCGAAGGCAGGUCUCUGGGCUGACACCGACGCUUCUGCACGAAAGCGUGGGGAGCAAACAGG
rnacentral:rRNA from 1 species